rnacentral:rRNA from 1 species
AUUGAACGCUGGCGGCAGGCCUAACACAUGCAAGUCGAGCGGAUGAGGGGAGCUUGCUCCUCGAUUCAGCGGCGGACGGGUGAGUAAUGCCUAGGAAUCUGCCUAGUAGUGGGGGACAACGUUUCGAAAGGAACGCUAAUACCGCAUACGUCCUACGGGAGAAAGUGGGGGAUCUUCGGACCUCACGCUAUUGGAUGAGCCUAGGUCGGAUUAGCUAGUUGGUAGGGUAACGGCCUACCAAGGCGACGAUCCGUAACUGGUCUGAGAGGAUGAUCAGUCACACUGGAACUGAGACACGGUCCAGACUCCUACGGGAGGCAGCAGUGGGGAAUAUUGGACAAUGGGCGAAAGCCUGAUCCAGCCAUGCCGCGUGUGUGAAGAAGGCCCUCGGGUCGUAAAGCACUUUAAGUUGGGAGGAAGGGCUUACAGCGAAUACCUGUGAGUUUUGACGUUACCGACAGAAUAAGCACCGGCUAACUUCGUGCCAGCCGCCGCCGUAA